UACGGAGGGAGCAAGCGUUACUCGGAAUCAUUGGGCGUAAAGGGCGCGUAGGCGAUUCGAUGAGUCUCAUGUGAAAGCCCAGAGCUUAACUCUGGAAGUGCAUGAGAUACUGUUGAAUUUGAGUUCAGGAGAGGAAAGCAGAAUUCCCGGUGUAGCGGUGAAAUGCGUAGAUAUCGGGAGGAAUACCAGAGGCGAAGGCGGCUUUCUGGACUGACACUGACGCUGAGGCGCGAAAGCCAGGGGAGCGAACGGG
rnacentral:rRNA from 1 species